rnacentral:rRNA from 1 species
UACGUAGGUGGCAAGCGUUGUCCGGAUUUACUGGGCGUAAAGAGCGCGCAGGCGGUCGGCCAAGUCGAGUGUGAAAGCCCCCGGCUCAACUGGGGAGGGUCAUUCGAUACUGGUCGACUCGAAGGCAGGAGAGGGAAGCGGAAUUCCCGGUGUAGUGGUGGAAUGCGUAGAUAUCGGGAGGAACACCAGUGGCGAAGGCGGUUGCCUGGAGCUUUGCUGACGCUGAUGCGCGAAAGCGUGGGGAGCGAUCCGG